rnacentral:rRNA from 1 species
UGUCUGGCGGCACUAGCGCGGUGGUCCCACCUGACCCCAUGCCGAACUCAGAAGUGAAACGCCGUAGCGCCGAUGGUAGUGUGGGGUCUCCCCAUGUGAGAGUAGGGAACUGCCAGGCAU